GUCCGGGAGUGGCGGCGGCCAAUCAGCGCUCGGCUUCCAUUUUGUGAGUUCAACUCAGAAGCUUCCCCGGCUUCGCGUGGAUAUGUUUGCAGACCCCUCGGCCUCUCUUCUCGGGCUGCCGAGGCGAAGCAGCCGCCUCUUUGGGGCUUCGUGGUGGUGUAUUUCAUAUUGGGGCUCUUUUCGGGGUUUGUAAUUUGGCCGUGGGUAGGUAAUUGGCUGGAGCAGGGCGGCAGGGCGCGGCAGCCAAUCAGCACGCGGCUUCUAUAGGGCUUGAGUUAUUAGACGCUGAUCUCAAAACAUCCUUCAUCAGACUCCAAGGAGAGGCCAACAGAUGAGGGGAGCCAUUUUUCUGCAAUGGAAUUAAAUGGCCAAGUGGGUUUUUCCUUUGUUGCAAAUGGGGAAUGCUUUUCCUUUGACUCCACCAUCCAGUUCAGGACGCCUGAAUGUGUUUAACAUUUGCCAAAGGACUCACACUUGGAAGAAUGAAGAAGACCUUUUAAAAAGAUCUGGAUUUUUCCUUAUGACUUGGAAUCCAUCUUUGUCUUGUAUAACUAGGUCAUAGUACACUAUUAAUGUCAGCAGUUAACAGUUUUGAAUUCAAAAAAACCUAAUUUUCAUGUUACUGUCGCCUGAGAUGUCCUGAAUUUUCGGAACCUUCAUCUGCAUGUAUGUCUUUGUCUCGGUCUGAUAGCAGUAAACAGUCCACAGCGAAGCCGCCUUUUGCCGGCCCAACCCUGGAAAGUUUGCAGUCGUGGAAGGAGCAGAAAUACCAUGAGUGUAACUUACAAAAAGGUCUUGGCCGGAGACCGGAACAAUGUCUGGGUUAUCCCCACAGUAGACAGUCCUUGCUUCCUCUGGACAUCUGGAACAGGCCUAAUUUGGCUGACAGCUUUCCCACUAAGUGCCCUCCUGGCUCCCAACAAGGCCAGGUUGUCGAUACACUGGCUUCUAGAAUCUUUAUAAAGCCGGACGUGAAAGGAGGCUGGCCCUUCACCUGA
rnacentral:lncRNA from 1 species